AGAGCUACGGUGACACUUCGCGUGCGGUGUAGGCGCAUCUUCGCUCUGUUGGCCGUGGCUUUAGUAAGCACACACCUGCCUGCUACUCUGGUUAUCGUGGCGACGGCAGGUCUGGAUUGCCAGACAGGUUUUUCUUUUUACCUCGAGGCUUUCUCUGAAGGGAGUCGGAGCAUUUAAAAGGCGGCCUCAAGGUGGAUUGAGUCGGGGGAGGAUUAGCAGUAUUUGCUUAGGUUGUAAAACCGCGACUUUAUCUAAUAAAUCGCCAUUCAAGGUGCAAAUACAAACUUGGAACAGAGGUGGAGUCUCGCUCUGUCGCCCAGGCUGGGGUGGAGUGACGCGAUCUCGGCUCACCGCAAGCUCCGCCUCCCGGGUUCACGCCAUUCUCCUGUCUCAGCCUCCCCAGUAGCUGGGACUACAGGCGUCCACCACCACGCCCGGCUAAUUUUUUGUACUUUUAGUAGAGACGGGUUUCACCGUGUCAGCCAGGAUGGUCUCGAUCUCCUGACCUCGUGAUCUGCCCGCCUCAGCCUCCCUAUAUGUUUUAAAAUAUAAAUUUAUUCUUAUAAAAAUAAAUUUAAACUAGAUUGAGGUAGUAAUUACAACAGUCCAGCACAUUAUGGAUAAUUAAUAUUUAUAUUUAUUUGGCUGGUUUUUCUUUUAUAGUAAACUUUAUGCCUUAAUGAACAUUUAUCAGUAUGACUCACUUCAUUCAGUCAUUGAAUAACUAUUUAUUGAGGCUGUAUACUGUGCUAGGUAGGCAUGGAACUACAUGCAUGAUC
rnacentral:lncRNA from 1 species